rnacentral:rRNA from 1 species
GACGAACGCUGGCGGCGUGCUUAACACAUGCAAGUCGAACGGAAAGGCCCUGCUUUUGUGGGGUGCUCGAGUGGCGAACGGGUGAGUAACACGUGAGUAACCUGCCCUUGACUUUGGGAUAACUUCAGGAAACUGGGGCUAAUACCGGAUAGGAGCUCCUGCUGCAUGGUGGGGGUUGGAAAGUUUCGGCGGUUGGGGAUGGACUCGCGGCUUAUCAGCUUGUUGGUGGGGUAGUGGCUUACCAAGGCUUUGACGGGUAGCCGGCCUGAGAGGGUGACCGGCCACAUUGGGACUGAGAUACGGCCCAGACUCCUACGGGAGGCAGCAGUGGGGAAUAUUGCACAAUGGGCGGAAGCCUGAUGCAGCAACGCCGCGUGCGGGAUGACGGCCUUCGGGUUGUAAACCGCUUUCGCCUGUGACGAAGCGUGAGUGACGGUAAUGGGUAAAGAAGCACCGGCUAACUACGUGCCAGCAGCCGCGGUGAUACGUAGGGUGCGAGCGUUGUCCGGAUUUAUUGGGCGUAAAGGGUUCGUAGGUGGUUGAUCGCGUCGGAAGUGUAAUCUUGGGGCUUAACCCUGAGCGUGCUUUCGAUACGGGUUGACUUGAGGAAGGUAGGGGAGAAUGGAAUUCCUGGUGGAGCGGUGGAAUGCGCAGAUAUCAGGAGGAACACCAGUGGCGAAGGCGGUUCUCUGGGCCUUUCCUGACGCUGAGGAGCGAAAGCGUGGGGAGCGAACAGGCUUAGAUACCCUGGUAGUCCACGCUGUAAACGGUGGGUACUAGGUGUGGGGUCCAUUCCACGGGUUCCGUGCCGUAGCUAACGCUUUAAGUACCCCGCCUGGGGAGUACGGCCGCAAGGCUAAAACUCAAAGGAAUUGACGGGGCCCCGCACAAGCGGCGGAGCAUGCGGAUUAAUUCGAUGCAACGCGUAGAACCUUACCUGGGUUUGACAUGGAUCGGGAGCGCUCAGAGAUGGGUGUGCCUCUUUUGGGGUCGGUUCACAGGUGGUGCAUGGCUGUCGUCAGCUCGUGUCGUGAGAUGUUGGGUUAAGUCCCGCAACGAGCGCAACCCUUGUUCACUGUUGCCAGCACGUUAUGGUGGGGACUCAGUGGAGACCGCCGGGGUCAACUCGGAGGAAGGUGGGGAUGACGUCAAGUCAUCAUGCCCCUUAUGUCCAGGGCUUCACGCAUGCUACAAUGGCUGGUACAGAGAGUGGCGAGCCUGUGAGGGUGAGCGAAUCUCGGAAAGCCGGUCUCAGUUCGGAUUGGGGUCUGCAACUCGACCUCAUGAAGUCGGAGUCGCUAGUAAUCGCAGAUCAGCAACGCUGCGGUGAAUACGUUCCCGGGGCU